rnacentral:rRNA from 5 species
GCAUUGGAACCACCUGAUCCCAUCCCGAACUCAGUAGUGAAACGAUGCAUCGCCGAUGGUAGUGUGGGGUUUCCCCAUGUGAGAGUAGGUCAUCGUCAAGA